rnacentral:lncRNA from 1 species
UUUAUGAACCCUAGAUCCUAAAUCACCCGAACCCUGUUUGUUUGAUUAACGAGCGAUUUCUUUAGAGAAAACAAGAAUUGCGGGUUUAUUUAGGGUUUCUCAAUCAAAUCAAAUUGCAGACUACAAAACCACACACCAUACAUCGGCUAUUUCAGAUGUCUGAACUUAAAACCCUCUUCGAGUAUUUAGGGUUUUUCAAUCAACUUGAUGUCGUCGAGAAUCACCAGGAAUGCUGUUACUAGAGCUACCUAUAUGAAUAGCAAAUCAAGAUGGAAUGGAACGCUUCUUACUCAAAUUAAGAGGUAAGCCCUCGUGGAGCUAACUGAAGCUGAAACAUAAUAUGCAGUAAAUGAUAUGAAGCAGUUACUGGAUAUAUGCUUCUGAAGCGGAACCAAGUCAUCGAAUGCCCUUCCAUAUGAUACAUCUGGUCAAACCUUAUGGCACUUGAGAAACCAUAAGGGGCCCCACCUAAGCUGUUGGCAGAUUUUCUAACGCCUUGAAGUUUAUCGUCGAAGAGGUCAUAUAGUUGUUAUAGAUGCUUUUGAAGCGGAAGAAUUUGCUGAGGUGGCAACGAAGCCACUGAAAGCCCUUCCAUAUGACACACCUUGUUGAAGUUUAUGGCAUUUGAGUACCCCACAAGGGGUCCCAGCUCAGCUGUUGGCAGAUUUUUUGACGUGUUGAAGUUUAUCGUUUAAGAGUUCUGCAAUGGUCCUUACUGCCCGUGGAGCUAACUGAAGUUGAAACAGAAUAUGCGGUAAAUGUUGUGCUCCAAUACAACAUGCUUUGGGCUAAGAAGAAUUUGCUGAGGGGUCCUCGCUCAACUGUUGGCAUAUUUUUUAAUGUGUCAAGUUUUUUGUCAAAUAGUGAUUGGGCUUCAGAAGACAGCUUGAAGGCAGAUUGGGAUUGAAGACUGUUGGGCUGCUGGACUUAAAGAAUGCUGUUGGGUUAAUGGGUUGAAGGGUUGAAAUGUUCAACCCAAACCCGACCCAUAUUAUUAUUCGGGUCAAAGACUUCAACUCUUACCCGACUCUAACCCGACCCAUAUAGGUCAACCCGAACCUGACCCGUUUAACCCAUAUUUUUAAAUGAGUCAUAUAAGUUGACGAUAUAUAAACGAGUUGUUGGGUUUUAACGAUGAACAUGAGAGUGACAAAUAAAUAAUAUAAUUUAUCAAAAUUAACAUUAUUAUAACUAA